UACGUAGGGGGCAAGCGUUGUCCGGAAUCAUUGGGCGUAAAGAGCGCGUAGGCGGCCCGAUAAGUCCGCUGUGAAAGUCAAGGGCUCAACCCUUGAAUGCCGGUGGAUACUGUCGGGCUAGAGUCCGGAAGAGGCGAGUGGAAUUCCUGGUGUAGCGGUGAAAUGCGCAGAUAUCAGGAGGAACACCAAUGGCGAAGGCAGCUCGCUGGGACGGUACUGACGCUGAGGCGCGAAGGCGUGGGGAGCAAACAGG
rnacentral:rRNA from 1 species